AUUGAACGCUGGCGGCAUGCCUUACACAUGCAAGUCGAACGGCAGCACGGGAGCAAUCCUGGUGGCGAGUGGCGAACGGGUGAGUAAUGUAUCGGAACGUGCCCAGUCGUGGGGGAUAACGUAGCGAAAGCUACGCUAAUACCGCAUACGAUCUAUGGAUGAAAGCGGGGGACCGUAGGGCCUCGCGCGAUUGGCGCGGCCGAUAUCAGAUUAGGUAGGUGGUGGGGUAAAAGACUACCAAGCACACGAUCUGUAGCUGGUCUGAGAGGACGACCAGCCACACUGGGACUGAGACACGGCCCAGACUCCUACGGGAGGCAGCAGUGGGGAAUUUUGGACAAUGGGCGCAAGCCUGAUCCAGCAAUGCCGCGUGCAGGAUGAAGGCCUUCGGGUUGUAAACUGCCUUUGUACGGAGCGAAAAGGCUCUCUCUAAUACAGGGGGCUCAUGACGGUACCGUAAGAAUAAGCACCGGCUAACUACGUGCCAGCCGCCGCGGUAAAAC
rnacentral:rRNA from 1 species